rnacentral:rRNA from 1 species
UACGGAGGGUGCAAACGUUGCUCGGAAUCAUUGGGCGUAAAGCGCACGUAGGUGGCCUGUUAAGUCGGGUGUGAAAUCCCUGGGCUCAACCCAGGAAGUGCACUCGAAACUGGCGGGCUUGAGUACUGAAGAGGGUCGCGGAAUUCCCGGUGUAGCGGUGAAAUGCGCAGAUAUCGGGAGGAACACCGGUGGCGAAGGCGGUUCUCUGGGCCUUGCCUGACGCUGAGGAGCGAAAGCAUGGGGAGCGAACAGG